UACGAAGGGGGCUAGCGUUGCUCGGAAUCACUGGGCGUAAAGCGCACGUAGGCGGAUUGUUAAGUCAGGGGUGAAAUCCUGGAGCUCAACUCCAGAACUGCCUUUGAUACUGGCGAUCUUGAGUCCGGGAGAGGUGAGUGGAACUCCGAGUGUAGAGGUGAAAUUCGUAGAUAUUCGCAAGAACACCAGUGGCGAAGGCGGCUCACUGGCCCGGAACUGACGCUGAGACGCGAAAGCGUGGGGAGCAAACAGG
rnacentral:rRNA from 1 species